rnacentral:lncRNA from 1 species
AGGCUAACAGGGUGCAGGUAUGUAUACUAUUGUCCGUCUGUCAACACUGCUUUCUUGUUCACUUCCAUAUCAUAUCCUUCCCCACUUGAAACAAACAAAUCCUCUAUAUGUAUGUUCAGGCCUCGGGUGACUCGCUUUGCACAUGACCUGGGCAACUUGAUCAUUUCCUUACCACUAAAGUUUUAACUGUCACACAUGUUGUAGAUUCAGAAUGCCUCGCCUACUUUGUCAUACUACUACGACCUGUGUUCGUUUGUAAAAAUAAAUCAAUCCAUAGGAUAAAAACUGUAGAACAUUCAUUCAUCACGAAGUAGAUAGUGUUGCUAGCUCCUGAAUCAUUGUUGCAUAUUUUAGACAGAACCAAAAGAGAAACAUUACAUUUCAUAAAUUUGUACGAUAAGCAUUUAUUAGUUUGGUAUUUUAUUUAGCGAGUGUGCUAUUUCAUUAGUUUGGUAUUCUUACAGCUCAUGAACACUUGGGUAGACAAAAUGCAUUUAUUUAUUUUUGAAGCGAAAACGGAAACAAAAGCAGUGUCAACAAGUACCAACUGAAGGUUAUAGAACCAAAUCAGGGGGUCAAGUUCCCCCCUGACAACACAAACCUACAUAAUUUGAGAACAGAGCAAAAAUGGGCCGGCCUUAUUUCCAACCAGGGGGUCAAGUACCAACUCCAGGUUACAGAACCAAACCAGGGGUUCCCCAUUUUCCAAAAUGCAGUUUUUAUUUAUGUCAGCCUUAUUUCCAACCAAAUCCAUGAUCAUAUCUCAUACACUUGCUACUGUGUCCAUCACAAUUGAUUCAAAUAAAAUUACAAAGUAAUGGACAGAUGCAAACUGAACCAAAUAUGUAACAGAACAUGCAAUUGUUCCUGAAGAUGCAAUUGCGGGAGGGAGGGGAACCAAUACCUGGUCGCUGAUGUCGUUUUUGCAUGAGGAGGAGAUCAGCAGGGGCACACCGGAGCACCUUCAUGCCGGACUGCCAGAGCACCUCGCCGCCGGAGGAGCCAGCCUUGGACAACAGAGAAAUAGGCCGGUCAGAGAGAGAGGUACCUGCCG